GCUUCAUGUUGCGUUUCGUCAGCGGCCAAUCGACCACAGGCUUCUACGGAAACCCUAAUCAGUGUCUAUGCUCUCCUUCGUGUUCUUCAUUCACCUUCGAUCGGUGCAGGGACGAUCCAGUUUCUGUAACGGUGUUUUGUGAUUUAAUGGUCUUAAAUCGUCUCAUUCGUCAUCCCACUACGAAACUCUCUCUCCUGCGCUGUUCGCCGUCUUUGCCACCAUUGACUUUUAGGGUUCUUCCUGUUCUUUGAGCUCUGAGUAGAUAAACCGACAUUAGAGUUUGGAAGGGUCAUGUGAGACAAAUCGUUAUGGCGAAUCUCUAGAUCAAGCUGUCAGACGCGUCAUUUCUUCCGAAUCAAUCUGGAUCUGAAACUCUCAAGCGUCUCCUCACAGAUUUUGAAGGCUUUAAGAUCACAUGAGAGCCUGAGGUUGUGAUUGCACCAAGUUAGCAGUUUUAGAUGAUCGAUGUAUCUGUUCUUUAAACAUGGGAGAUUGUGUCAUCGGAGCUUUCAUCAGUAUUUUUGAAAGCGUUGCUAUUAAUUUCGGAACAAACCUUCUCAAAUUGAGACAUAAUAAGAGAAAGAAGUUAGCUUUACAUGCAGGAUAAUGGUCGAGAAAAGACGUCAUUGAAGCCUCUUAUACAGUUCAGACAUAGAUAGUUGAUAGCAACUGUUGAUGAAUAGAAAAUGCCAGCAAAAAAAUAAAAAUAUAAAGGUGCUGAUUUUAGUAAUUACCUUUAGAUCAAGCUCUGUUUUCUUUUUUUAAAUGAUUGUCUUUCAAGUGUUUCUCCUUCGUUCUGCAGGAUGAAAAGAAGCAUACAACCGGCAGUAUGUGUGACAUGCUUACCUACUACCUAGAAUAAUGGUCUCUUCUCGACAGAGAUCAUUCAAAUUCUUUGUAAAUAGCAACUGAAGCCUCGCAAACCAGCAUGCGUCAUUUUCCAAUUAUUGAAAAAGCUGUGGUUGAUAUUCUAUCCCAAGCAUAUUGUUAGUUCAGCUGUUAAUGUCGUCACGGUCUGGCGUCUUCCAUAUUCUCGCCGAUAUCCAAGAUGAGGUGGUUUCAUGAGAGUUCAGAGAUGCAUACAAUUAUCAUAAUAGUUAUUAUUGGAUAUAAAGUGGAAACUAGCUGUUAUUCGUUCUUAUAUGUGUAGAUGAAAUGAAUUCAGUAAUGGCGGAAAUGAUGAAUAUCACUGCACAAGAAGCAGUCUUGCGCAAACAGUGUCAAGGAUUCUUAUCAAUAGUAACAGCUAUGCAGGUUAAAGAGUCAUCUCUCUGCUCUUGGCUUUUUUUCUUCCCUUUUACAUUUUUCUUCUUGAUCAAGCUUUUAUAAGCAAAUCAAUUCGUCUUGAUAGGUUAAGGACUGUAGCAUGAAUACGCACAUAAUACAACUAAACUGGAAACUGACUUCACAACUGUAGAAACUGAUGGGUUUUCCAUAACUUUUGAUGUCCUAAGAUUUGUUUCAAGUUUCUCAAUUUCAAUACUUAAUACGGUUACCACAA